rnacentral:rRNA from 1 species
ACGGGAGGCAGCAGUGGGGAAUAUUGCACAAUGGGGGAAACCCUGAUGCAGCGACGCCGCGUGAGUGAAGAAGUAUUUCGGUAUGUAAAGCUCUAUCAGCAGGAAAGAAAAUGACGGUACCUGACUAAGAAGCCCCGGCUAACUACGUGCCAGCAGCCGCGGUAAUACGUAGGGGGCAAGCGUUGUCCGGAAUUAUUGGGCGUAAAGGGCGCGUAGACGGCCGAUUAAGUUACUGGUGGAAGCCCAUAUUUCAAGUAUGGAAGUGCCAGUAAUACUGGUUGGCUUGAGUGCAGGAGAGGGAAGCGGAAUUCCUAGUGUAGCGGUGAAAUGCGUAGAUAUUAGGAGGAACACCAGUGGCGAAGGCGGCUUUCUGGACUGUAACUGACGUUGAGGCGCGAAAGCGUGGGGAGCAAACAGGAUUAGAUACCCUGGUA